rnacentral:rRNA from 1 species
CCUACGGGUGGCAGCAGUGAGGAAUAUUGGUCAAUGGGCGCGAGUCUGAACCAGCCAAGUAGCGUGAAGGAUGACUGCCCUACGGGUUGUAAACUUCUUUUAUAUAGGAAUAAAGUGAUGCACGUGUGCCUUUUUGUAUGUACUAUAUGAAUAAGGAUCGGCUAACUCCGUGCCAGCAGCCGCGGUAAUACGGAGGAUCCGAGCGUUAUCCGGUUUUAUUGGGGUUAAAGGGAGCGUAGGUGGAUUGUUAAGUCAGUUGUGAAAGUUUGCGGCUCAACCGUAAAAUUGCAGUUGAUACUGGCAGUCUUGAGUACAGUUGAGGUGGGCGGAAUUCGUGGUGUAGCGGUGAAAUGCUUAGAUAUCACGAAGAACUCCGAUUGCGAAGGCAGCUCACUAAACUGCCACUGACAUUGAGGCUCGAAAGUGUGGGUAUCAAACAGGAUUAGAUACCCCAGUAGUC